rnacentral:sRNA from 1 species
UAUUCUUUCCUAAAUUAUUAUUAAAAUCUGAAACUUAAAAAAUAUAUAAAAAAUUAAAUAUAUGAACUAAAAUUUAUACAAUCUUUUUCAUAUAAAUUGUGCUUUUUGUACCUCGGACCAUAGUAGUUCUCUUUGCAUCUGAAGUGUUGUUGUAACCGAUCCGAAGAUGGUAAACAUUUACAAGGAAAAUAUUAUUUUGGAGUGGGCCUUUAUACAAAACUAUCAAAUCCUACCUAGCUCGGGGAUCAUAAUUUUUGUUGAAAAUGUUUGCAUGGCGAUUUGAAGCAGUAAUAUGAAAUAGAUUUUGAUUGUUAUCAUCAACUUCCAAUAGCAGGUCGAGACACGAACGAAGUAGAAUUUCUACAAACUCAAUGUAUCCGGACUUUACGACCUCAACAAGUAAAUUUUGAGGUGAAGAAGUAAUUUAUAAUUUAUCUUCGAAAAUAUUUACAAUCCUUCUCAUAUAAAUAUACAAGUUUUUCCAUUUUUUUGUUAGAGACAACUUUUCACAUAAUUAUCUUUAUUUUUUGAAAUUUUAGUAUUAUAUUGUUUUUCCAACUACACAUUAAUUACAAAAUACUCCUUGAUGAAUUUAUCUGAGAAAUUUACCAUAUUUUGUUAUAUUAUUAUUAAUUUAAUUUUGCGUAAACGGGAGACUAUACAAUUAAGUUUGAGUUUCCUGAUUUUCAAAUGUUGGGUUUGUUUGUAUAAUUUCAAAUGUUGGGGUUUAAUUUGCAAUAUUCCCGAAUCCCGACUACUCAUUCUAAAAUAUAA